GUAACAAGGUUUCCGUAGGUGAACCUGCGGAAGGAUCAUUAACGAGUUUUGAAAUGGGUUGUAGCUGGCCUUUGAAAAAAUAGAAGGCAUGUGCACGCCCUGCUCAUCCACUCUCAUACCCCUGUGCACUUAUUGUAGGCUUGGGUGGGAUGAUCAACUGUAAGGUUGGUUUGAAAGCCUUUAGUCUAUGCUUUAUUACAAACUCUACAAAGUCAUAGAAUGUCACAUUAGCGUAUAACGCAAUAAAUACAACUUUCAGCAACGGAUCUCUUGGCUCUCGCAUCGAUGAAGAACGCAGCGAAAUGCGAUAAGUAAUGUGAAUUGCAGAAUUCAGUGAAUCAUCGAAUCUUUGAACGCACCUUGCGCUCCUUGGUAUUCCGAGGAGCAUGCCUGUUUGAGUGUCAUGGUAUUCUCAACCUUUAAAGCUUUUUUUUAAUCAAAAGGCAAUGAAGGCUUGGAAUUGGAGGUUUGUGUUGGCGCAAGUCAACUCCUCUGAAAUGCAUUAGUGUGAACCUUUACGGAUCACUGUCAGUGUGAUAAUUAUCUACACUGUGGUGUUGAAGUAUAUAUACAUGGUGUUCAUGCUUCUAACUGUCCUUUAUUGGACAUUGAUUUUUGACAAUCUGACCUCAAAUCAGGUAGGACUACCCGCUGAACUUAAGCAUAUCAAU
rnacentral:rRNA from 1 species